AGGUGAUUGAGUUCGCGUCUCUGAUCUGAGACCAGCGCUGUUUGAGGGAACGCACGGUUUGGGCACGAGCAGGUGCCACAAAGGAAGAUGAUAUUUGGCUAGGCCCGGAUGGCAACACCAGCCAACACCAGCAGAAGGUGAAGGCAGCCCUCCCUAAGCAGGCGGAGGGACCCCUCCACAGCCUCCAACCAGAGACUGGGUGAUCGUGAAGGAACAUCGCAGGAACCACUGGAACUCCAGGAGCGGCGAGGCCCAUUCCAGGUGCUGCUGACCACCCACACGGCCCUGAAGGUGGCACAACAAGCAACUUGGAUUCACGCCAGUAACUGCAGGAAGGUUCUGGAGCCAAUACGAGAGGCAGCGUUGAGCGUCCAGCUGAGGUGUGAGCCAAGCGCCGCCUGAAGCUGCAUCGGUGAAUCACACUUUAAACUAUACACACGUUGAUGAGAAAACACAUACACGAGCAGCCUGGAGUCGCCACGAUGGACGACGUGUAGACUCUUUGCAUCACCACAUCACCGGAGUGACAGUGACUCAGGCCACAUUGGGAAACGGUGAUAACAAAUCCCAAGUGUCUCUGUUGUCAGCUGAUCACGACCCUAAAAGACUCCGACCUGUGCCAAAUGAAUAGAACUGAAACCUGGGGUUGCAGGUAAACUUGUAACAUCGCACAUAUGCUCACAGGCGAGAACACCCUAUCCACCAACACCUGAGGUGGAUUGAGUUGGAAAACCUGAUUGAAGGAAAAAGAACACACCCACACAACCAUCAUCUAUAUCUUUUGCCAUUGUACAAUAAAAGCAAUUAUUGCGCUUAUAUCUGUUAUAUGUGUUCGAAGUCCAGGGGUUUACUUUGUAAAAUGGAGGUUGGUCUCCUUUAUGAAAGA